UACGAAGGGGGCGAGCGUUGUUCGGAAUCACUGGGCGUAAAGGGCGCGUAGGCGGCCCUCCUUGUCGCGUGUGAAAGCCCCGGGCUCAACCUGGGAACGGCGCGCGAGACGGGGGGGCUGGAGUUCGGGAGAGGGGCGGUGGAAUUCCCAGUGUAGAGGUGAAAUUCGUAGAUAUUGGGAAGAACACCGGUGGCGAAGGCGGCGCUCUGGACCGAGACUGACGCUGAGGCGCGAAAGCGUGGGGAGCAAACAGGG
rnacentral:rRNA from 1 species